CAAAUGACUGCUGCGAACGACCUAACGAGCGCAAACCGGCUACCCCCCCAUACCUAGCUAACCCCUAUUCACCAAAUAAGUGGAACAUAUCACACAAAGGUUUACCAGGAUCACUCAACAAGCUGUACAAUAUGUUAGCCGCACGACGGAUCCGGGUUAAAGUUAUUAGUUCAAAAUCUUAUGAUAUGUACAACUGAUUAAACCUACUGCGGCAUGUGCCAACAACCCGCAUUCAACAACUGUUUUCAAUAACUGUUUAUGAUAUAUGCAAAAUGUAGCUGCAG